GGGAUACUGGAGUGAUGGAGGUAGAUAUGUAUAGGGGUAAGGGGACAGGGAUACUGGAGUGAUGGAGGUAGAUAUGUAUAGGGGUAAGGGGACAGGGAUACUGGAGUGAUGGAGGUAGAUAUGUAUAGGGGUAAGGGGACAGGGAUACUGGAGUGAUGGAGGUAGAUAUGUAUAGGGGUAAGGGGACAGGGAUACUGGAGUGAUGGAGGUAGAUAUGUAUAGGGGUAAGGGGACAGGGAUACUGGAGUGAUGGAGGUAGAUAUGUAUAGGGGUAAGGGGACAGGG